AUCACUUCUUGGUCUUUUGGCUAAGAUCAAGUGUAGUGUUUGUUCUUUUUCAGUUUAAUAUCUGAUAUGUCCUCUAUCUGAGGACAAUAUUAAAUGGAUUUUUGGAGCAGGGAGAUGGAAUAGGAGAUUACUCUGUCCACUCCAUGCAUCAACCUGGUAUUGCUGUACCUCCAGGAACAGUGUACCCCCU
ensembl:snRNA U2 U2 spliceosomal RNA